UACGUAGGGCGCAAGCGUUGUCCGGAAUUAUUGGGCGUAAAGAGCUCGUAGGCGGCUUGUCACGACGGAUGUGAAAGCCCGGGGCUUAACUCCGGGUCUGCAUUCGAUACGGGCUAGCUAGAGUGUGGUAGGGGAGAUCGGAAUUCCUGGUGUAGCGGUGAAAUGCGCAGAUAUCAGGAGGAACACCGGUGGCGAAGGCGGAUCUCUGGGCCAUUACUGACGCUGAGGAGCGAAAGCGUGGGGAGCGAACAGG
rnacentral:rRNA from 1 species